rnacentral:sRNA from 1 species
CUGGGCCUCUGCCGCUCUGUGGCCCUAAGUGCUGAGCUGCCGGGAACGGCAGCUUCUGACGCUGGGCCAUUGGACGCUGCGGAACCAGGCUUCUUCACUUUGAGUUUCCGCCGCGAAGCGCCAGUCCGGGCCGAGGAGGGAGCCUUUACUACUUCUCCCUGGUUUCAUUCAUGUUCUGAGGAGGGUGUGAGAAGGAACCAUGGAUCCCACAGCCUUGGUGGAAGCCAUUGUGGAAGAAGUGGCCUGUCCCAUCUGUAUGACCUUCCUGAGGGAGCCCAUGAGCAUUGACUGUGGCCACAGCUUCUGCCACAGCUGUCUCUCUGGACUCUGGGAGAUCCCAGGAGAAUCCCAGAACUGGGGUUACACCUGUCCCCUCUGUCGAGCUCCUGUCCAGCCAAGGAACCUGCGGCCUAACUGGCAGCUGGCCAAUGUUGUAGAAAAAGUCCGUCUGCUAAGGCUACAUCCAGGAAUGGGGCUGAAGGGUGACCUGUGUGAGCGCCAUGGGGAAAAGCUGAAGAUGUUCUGCAAAGAGGAUGUCCUGAUAAUGUGUGAGGCCUGCAGCCAGUCCCCAGAGCAUGAGGCCCACAGUGUUGUGCCAAUGGAGGAUGUUGCCUGGGAGUACAAGUGGGAACUUCAUGAGGCCCUCGAACAUCUGAAGAAAGAGCAAGAAGAGGCCUGGAAGCUUGAAGUUGGUGAAAGGAAACGAACUGCCACCUGGAAGAUACAGGUGGAAACCCGAAAACAGAGUAUUGUAUGGGAGUUUGAAAAAUACCAGCGAUUACUAGAGAAAAAGCAGCCACCACAUCGGCAGCUGGGGGCAGAGGUAGCAGCAGCUCUGGCCAGCCUACAGCGGGAGGCAGCGGAGACCAUGCAGAAACUGGAGUUGAACCAUAGCGAGCUCAUCCAGCAGAGCCAGGUCCUGUGGAGGAUGAUUGCAGAGUUGAAAGAGAGGUCGCAGAGGCCUGUCCGCUGGAUGUUGCAGGUGAGUAGUAGGUUUUCCUGGUAACCCUGAGUGACAGCUGAAGAUAGACUGAGACUCCAGGAGAGAGCAUCAGUUACCCUUCAGUAGGGACUGCCAGCCCUCUGCCAGCUGGUCAUGGAUCCUGUGUUUCCCCAGCUAAUACCUGCUGUUUCCCUAUCCCCUGGCUGGUGGAUGACCUGGUCUGUUGUAGCAUCAUAGGUGGGGCAGUGCUCAGGCAGCUCUGGCGUCAUUCCAGGCCCUCUCCUCUAGCCCGAGAGUCUUGAGAUGGAGCCUGAAGUUGGCCAGUUCAGCCAAAGCUCAGCCUGCUCUUCCAUCCUUCCAUAGGCUUCUCCUUACCUCUGCAUGGCAUCUCUCCAUUCUUGGUAUCUGUCUCCCUUCCCCUAGAGAAACUCCCUGCCAGUUUCGAUGUCUGUUCCCUCUGAGGAAUAGCACAUACUCAGAUGCUGCAUUUUUUUUUCUCCUUCUAGGAUAUUCAGGAAGUG